rnacentral:rRNA from 1 species
AGCGAACGCUGGCGGCAGGCUUAACACAUGCAAGUCGAGCGGGCGUAGCAAUACGUCAGCGGCAGACGGGUGAGUAACGCGUGGGAACAUACCUUUUGGCUCGGAACAACACAGGGAAACUUGUGCUAAUACCGGAUAAGCCCUUACGGGAAAGAUUUAUCGCCGAAGAUUGGCCCGCGUCUGAUUAGCUAGUUGGUGAGGUAACUGGCUCACCAAGGCGACGAUCAGUAGCUGGUCUGAGAGGAUGA